UACGGGGGGAGCAAGCGUUGUUCGGAUUUACUGGGCGUAAAGGGCGCGUAGGCGGCCACCGCAAGUCGACUGUGAAAUCUCCGGGCUUAACCCGGAAAGGUCAGCCGAUACUGCGGGGCUAGAGUGCAGAAGGGGCAACUGGAAUUCUCGGUGUAGCGGUGAAAUGCGUAGAUAUCGUAAGGAAGACCAGUGGCGAAGGCGGGUCUCUGGACAGUUCCUGACACUGAGACACGAAGGCCAGGGGAGCAAACGGG
rnacentral:rRNA from 1 species